rnacentral:rRNA from 1 species
AGCGAACGCUGGCGGCAUGCUUAACACAUGCAAGUCGCACGGGGUGCUUUCGGGCACUUAGUGGCGGACGGGUGAGUAUCGCGUAGGGAUUUGUCGUUGGGUGGGGGAUAACCUUGGGAAACUGGGGCUAAUACCGCAUGACGCCUUUGGGCCAAAGCUCGUGAGGGUGCCUGAUGAGGAGCCUGCGUCCGAUUAGGUAGUUGGUUGGUUAUGGCUGACCAAGCCUGCGAUCGGAGCUGGUCUGAGAGGAUGAUCAGCCACACUGGGACGUGGGACACGGCCCAGACUCCUACGGGAGGCAGCAGUGGGGAAUAUUGACAAUGGGCGCAAGCCUGAUCCAGCAAUGCCGCGUGGAU